CCGGAGUCUGGGAACGGUUCAGUUUUUCGCUGCUUGGCAGUUCGCUAAACACACACAUACACACCGCCACACAGCCGCCAGGAUCAAUGCCACUUCCGGAUUGCCAGUGUGAAACCGGCGCAACCGUGCGUGCCGCAUAAACUAUGCCACUCUCUUUCGCGCGUACUGGCAACGUUGUGGGCAUGUUGGGAGGCGAAAGCAAGCAGUGCGAACAAAUAGAGAGGGAUGCUGGUGUGGCAACAACAAAGCCAGCAUAGCACGAUGCAAAGGACGUGAUUCGAGCGUGGAGCAGAGCGAGAGCAGACGAACCAGCGACCGGCCGAGCAGGACGAAGCGAAUUGGGCGUGUGAAAUAAUGCCCUGAGAGCGGAGGGAGUUUUCCAUGGAAGUUUUCCAAGGUUUCCAAGGUUGCGCCCAGUCGGCUCCCUCAUUGCGUUUCAUAACGCGAGCAGUCGUUGCUAUACGUUUUUAUGGUCUGUACCGAAGUUGGGCCCAAGCGCUGCCGACGAUCGUAAAGAGUGCAUUAGCGACGGUUCAAUUCAGCUGGAGCCUCGUGAACAUCGAAGCAUUUGAGGAUUUAUUUUGUUUCGGUCCCUACCAAACAGGAACAACGCACCCGUGCACGUACCACUUCUGCGGUGUAACCGACCGAGAUAAGACACGGCGGCAAAUUGCUAAACAAAUACAGCCCUACCACCACCACCAGCCAGGACCAGCCCCAGGACGACUUCCUUCGAGGUCCUUUCCGAGAGCUUCGAGUGAAAUUUGAACGGCUUCUCGGAUUUAAUCGAGCAGAACGAACGAAGGAACCCGAGCGGAAGCAGGCGUGCGUGAGAAAUGGGAAGCAGUUUUGCUGGGUGUGUUUUUGUGUCUGAUGGUAACGAUUUUCACUGCGCUAAGUUUGGACAAUUUUUGCGUUUUACCUAAAUCUUUCAAGUUUGUGUUGGAAACAGAUGUUUUAAGCAAAUUAUUUUGAUUCUUUUAAAACAGUUAUUUUUCUGAUAAAUAAUGGUAACAACAAAGUGCUAUUCCACGAAAUGUGUUGUGGCAGACGCUUAUUUUAUGAUUGCAAUAAACCAUAAUACUUUAUGAAAGGGUAUAGUGAUAAAAAAUA